rnacentral:rRNA from 1 species
UACGAAGGGGGCUAGCGUUGCUCGGAAUGACUGGGCGUAAAGGGCGCGUAGGCGGAUGGCACAGUCAGAUGUGAAAUUCCCGGGCUUAACCUGGGGGCUGCAUUUGAUACGUGUGAUCUAGAGUGAGGAAGAGGGUCGUGGAAUUCCCAGUGUAGAGGUGAAAUUCGUAGAUAUUGGGAAGAACACCGGUGGCGAAGGCGGCGACCUGGUCCUUGACUGACGCUGAGGCGCGAAGGCGUGGGGAGCGAACAGG